UACGUAGGGGGCAAGCGUUAUCCGGAUUUACUGGGUGUAAAGGGAGCGUAGACGGCAGAGCAAGUCUGAAGUGAAAGCCCGCGGCCCAACUGCGGGACUGCUUUGGAAACUGCCCGGCUAGAGUGCUGGAGAGGUAAGCGGAAUUCCUAGUAUAGCGGUGAAAUGCGUAGAUAUUAGGAGGAACACCAGUGGCGAAGGCGGCUUACUGGACAGUAACUGACGUUGAGGCUCGAAAGCGUGGGGAGCAAACAGG
rnacentral:rRNA from 1 species